CCCUGUGUUUAGGAUGACUCAGGGUUAAACUGUCAACCCUGAUGAAAUCAUCCGAAUCGUGCUCAACUCAAUUAGUCCUGUGACUCCUCACUAGGACUAUCCUGGUCAAGAUUUUGCUAAAUUGAAACACGACUAUACACAGCUCCUAAACUGGAGUGGUCAAUCCCAUCUUGACACACGCACCGACAAGUCAAGUACUUGACUACAUCCAGUAGCUUUCCGUCACUGAAUUAGAAAUUCAGGUAGUCCAGUGCCUAAGUGCAGUGAGUUGCUUGCAAGUCACCGUGGCGGUCUCAGGUCGGAGGGAUAUUUAUACCCAUAUCCCAUCGGAGCAAAUCUUGACAGCAGAAAUAGCUCCAGAGUCGGUCACGUUCAGUGCAGAUGUACCAUUAC
rnacentral:lncRNA from 1 species